CAGAGUUAGGGUUGCCCUUGCGGUGCCCGACCUCCCAACCCUUUGCCUUGAAAACAAACGACGGGUGCGCCGUCAAAACGCGCGCCCGCCGGCACCUUUGUAUACCGUUGCUUCGGCGGCUCACACCGCCGGAGGGACAGUAAACCAAAACUCUUGUUAUUAAACCGUGUAACCGUCUGAGAAACAUACUUUUAAUAAGUUA
rnacentral:misc_RNA from 1 species